CCCUCGGUCCUUACUUUUCUGUGCAGCAGCUGCUUUGGAGUCACCCCUGCUCCCUAUUUAGAAACAUAGCAGACUACCUGUACCUUUCCAGCUCUCAGAGUUCAGAGACAAGCAGGUACCAGCUGCCAACUAGCGGAUGGAAGGGCCUGGUGCCUCCUGCUACCUGGGCCUCAGCGCCCCCACCUCUUCCGGCCGUCCGGCCCGCCUUUUCCUGUAGGAUGCGGCUGCGAUGCGCGCCCUGCGCCUGGGCUGCAAAAGGAUCAAAGACUUGAGUGGGCCGCGCGGCCUCGCCCUGCCAAGGGGGAGCAACUUGUCUAGAGACGCCUGACUGGUUGACAGGCGUGCGGGAGCGCAGUUUGGGAGCCGCCAGGGGGGGCACCCUGCCUCGCGGCACUCCCGUCCGUUGCCUCUAGAUGGCAGGCUUCGAAAUCCCUAAUUGUAAACGCCUCUCGGGCAGCCCUUAACUCCACGUCCAUUGCGAGCGCUCACAGGCGUCGGCCAUGACAGUUACAUCCGGGUAUGAUGCCUAGCCACGGCCUGAGGCUCCGGAAGUGACGUGACGCGGAAGGAUACGCGCUCGACCGAGGGCAGCUGAGGUGAAGAGGCCUCCGGAAGUGGGUGCAAUCGGACUCUGCAGAUGGGACCCCGGCAGUAGGAGGAGCGUGGCCCAUUACACAGGCCAGUCACUGAGCUCAAAGCCAACCAUGCUGUGCCUUGUUCAACAAUCGGAGAGACAGAAGCUGUUAUUUUUAUUUCAUAUGUAUUGAGAAACUAAGACCGAGCGAGGGCCAGGGACUUCUCUAAGCCCAUAACCAGGAGUAUUUGACCUAAACUGAAUUCUGUGUUCUUCGUGAUGACUCCCUUUUUGGAAAAAUUAAAUUCCUACCCCUUGUCAUCAUAGAUUGUUGCCCCUGCAAGCCUUUCUUAAGCAUAGUAGCCCAAGCAGUGGUACCUCGACACACCCGUGAUUUUAAUCAAAGAUCAAAUUUUUUAUUCCGGCUUCAUUGGGGGAUAUAGCAUUUUCCUGUACUGGGGAACAAACCUUGGGAAACUAGUUUUAAGCAAUUUAUUUCAGACUCAGCACAAUAAAACUUUUGUCUUCUAUCAGC
ensembl:lincRNA E030044B06Rik RIKEN cDNA E030044B06 gene